AGAAACAACUGGCUCUUUAUCGACGAGAAGACCUUCCUGUGUUUUUCAGAAGCAGAGGCAGUGAGGAUGGUGGAAGAGCUCCAAAACAAGUCUUCUACACCAAACGUAGACUUUCAUAUAUAAAGAACUGAUGUAGAAACGUGAUAUCAGAGGUUCGGCCAUCAUUGUGUGGACCAAUCACUGGCUCAGCUUUCAGAUCGAAAGCCUCACAUUAUCUUGAUG